CUCCAUGGCAACAGGCCAUUCAACUUAACUUUUUAACACAUGAAGAACUUCCGGUCUCUGAAGGGAAAAGGGAAAGGACACGAGGACUCAGCAGCCAUCCUCUUCAGCUCUUCCUGCCCGGAGCACAAUCUUGUUAACCAUCCACCUGUAGGCAUCGAAUGUGAAAAAGGGAAGACAGGAGACAAAUCUCUGACAGCUGCACCCUCUGCAUCCAGAGCCCGGUAAAGCCACCUCACUGCCACCAGGCCCCAGAGAGGCAAAGGAAAGAAAGAAGCUACAGAGGGCAGACGGGAGCUAGGCCGGCUACCUGCCAAAUCACCUCCCAGUCUGGAAUUCAAACCUGAAUAGACUCUCAAGACAAAGAGAGAGGCGCCAUUUGUGGGGAGAAAGGGAAGAGUGAUGCUGGAGAAGAGGGAAGAAUCCUGCAGAAAAUGGAAAUGCACACAGCCCAGAACAGAGACCCAAGAAUCCCAGAGAUGCCCAGCAGAGUUUGUACUUCCUGGAUAAAUACUAGUAUUCACAUGACUGCACAGUUUCAGAUAAGAUUAUUUUCAAAUUUUAUUUAAAAAAUCCAGAAAUUCAUUUUACGUUUUUCCUGAAGCAAUAUUAUUAGCACCCAGAACUGAUUACUGUUAGAGAAGAGAUAGGUGCCACUAAUAAUGUCUCAGGAGCUGGAUGACAAUGCAGGAACACAGACUUUCCCUUGUGGCGUCUGAGAGGACUCUUCCUGGACUCCUCUUGCAGGCACUUUGUGAUCAUCACACUCAUCAGCCACAUUGACACAAACACGUUUGGAUGAGAGGCCAUUAUAGUUAUUGCUUUUCUUUCCUUCCCAGUCUCUCAUCACAGAUUUUGUUACCUUAAAAUCUGAGAUACUGGCAUGUGCUCCAUUGCCUGCCAUCCAAAAUCAGGCCAUCUGGAUUUUCCAGCAUUAUUGUUAAGAUGGAAUCACUCACGGGAGCCAGAAUUCCUCUUCUCCGAUAGGGCUCCUCAGAUUGAGGAUGCUGUUAUUUUUCUCCUGUUCCCUCAAAGUCAGAGUCAGCUUGUGAAAAGUUGUUAAACAAUGUACUCCUUGUGGGAGUGUCCAUCCUGCCUCUAAACUUGCCUUAUCCAAACUAUCCAACGGGGACACCAUUGAACUUUAUCAUGUCAAUAUGUAUAACAUCCUCCAGAGUAAUUUUAUACUGUUAUGCAUUGUUACCCAUGUC
rnacentral:lncRNA from 1 species